CCCAGACUCCUACGGGAGGCAGCAGUGGGGAAUAUUGCACAAUGGGGGAAACCCUGAUGCAGCGACGCCGCGUGAGUGAAGAAGUAUUUCGGUAUGUAAAGCUCUAUCAGCAGGGAAGAAAAUGACGGUACCUGACUAAGAAGCCCCGGCUAACUACGUGCCAGCAGCCGCGGUAAUACGUAGGGGGCAAGCGUUAUCCGGAUUUACUGGGUGUAAAGGGAGCGUAGACGGUGAUGCAAGUCAGAAGUGAAAGCCCGGGGCUCAACUCCGGGACUGCUUUUGAAACUGUGCGACUGGAGUGCAGGAGAGGUAAGCGGAAUUCCUGGUGUAGCGGUGAAAUGCGUAGAUAUCAGGAGGAACACCAGUGGCGAAGGCGGCUUACUGGACUGUAACUGACGUUGAGGCUCGAAAGCGUGGGGAGCAAACAGGAUUAGAUACCCUCGUAGU
rnacentral:rRNA from 1 species